UACUCCACUGUUGGUGACUAUGUAGCAGUACCCACUGUUGCGUUCCCAGAGUUAAGGUUUGUCAAUGACAGAAAGUACUGCUGAAACCACAGAGGAAUCAGCUACCCACCGCUGAACUAUUGCAUAGUGGUUCGUAAAAGUCAAGUUUGAGGACCAUGUGGCUGCCCUGCAGAUGUCCGGCAGUGAGACUCCACAGACAAAAGCAGUGGAUGUUGCUACUGCUCUGGUGGCGUGUGCCCUAGGUCAAGUCCGAAGGUCUUGUUGCGGCUCAAACAAGUAGUGAUGCAAGAAACUAUGACCUUAGAAAGAUGCUGGGAGGAUAAGUUGCCCUUGGAGCGAUCCACUAUGGAUACUAUUAGGCAGUUGAUUUUGCGCCAGGUCCGUGUUCUGUCAAUAUAAAACGCUAUAACUCGACAUACAUUGAGGGUGUGGAGUAGCGAUUCCAUUUUGCCAGGUAAGUCUUCCUUGUAGUUUCUCUCCUACAGUUCGACAGCACCGCCUUCAUUCUCUCUGAACAAAGGCGCUCCUCUAUGUUGAGCCAGCGAGGAGCCACGCUGUCAAAUGGAGAGUCUCCAGUCUCGGAUGUAGCAGGGAGCCGUAGCUCAGAGAGAAGAUCUGGGAGUAGGGGCAAAGGAUGUGGUGGUUGCAGGGACAUCCUGUGGAGAAACGGGUACCAAGGUUGUCUUGCCCAGGUUGGUGUUAGGAGAAUGACUCGGGCUGAAUCCUCUCUGAUUUUCUGUAUCACCCUCGGUAUAAGCACCAUUGGUGGGAAUGCAUAAAGCAGAGGUCGUUCCCAGCGGACUAGCAGGGCAUCGCCAAGGGACCCUUUACCUACACCCCCUCUCGAACAGUAUAGGUGACCUUUCCUGUUGUCAUAGGUAGCAAAAAGGUCUAUCCAAGGCCAUCCCCAAGCAUGGAAGAUGCGGUUCAGAACACUGGGACGGAUUUCCCACUCAUGGUCAUGAGAGAAAUGUCUGCUCAUGAGGGAAAUGUCUGCUGAGUGCAUCCGCCAUGACGUUGCUCAUGUCUGGUCGGUGGGACCGAUGCUGGUGUCUGCCAAAUGACUUCUGCAGCCUCCAUGAUGGCCUUAUCGAUAGGGAUGGCUACUUUCACACUCUGUCUUGGAUGACAGAAGGUUGAUGGAAGAAGGGGUAACCUAUUUACAGCUACUUGUCUACACAUCCCGAGGGGACUGAAAGAAUGCUGAAGGGAUAGGAGGUCCGUCUGUGGCCGAAGGCAGUUGAGAGGAACUGAGCGGGGAACUGGGUAUGCUCAAUGAUCAAAGGGCAUGGACAGCACAAGCUGUUGAUUGCACAUGUGCGACCCAGCUGAACACACCUAUUGAAAGUCUCCGAGCUGCGGCUCCAGAACGAGCGCGACACCAUCAGUGGACCACUCGAAGAAGAACUCCAGGUUCCUCAGUGCUGGCGCUGCACCAGCUAUGGAAAUUUAAUCAGGUCCUCAGCUUAGCUUAAUCAGGAAGGAUCUGUGGCUGGCUCUCCGUGGGACCACACAGCCUUCCACUCUGGCGUCCCUUUUAGAGUGAGCUGACCAGCUUCUUUUUAUAUUGGCCCAGCACUUUCAGCAUGCUU